ensembl:lncRNA
CUCUGGUUCUCAUCAGCUGUCUUGUUCUGUGUAAAGUGAAGACGGUGUGCAGAGUGAAGGUACAGGCAGAACGCUUCACAGUUCCUGUGUUCCAAGAACAGAGAUGCUCCACCAGCUCACUCUUCAACCUUGUUUCCCAGCAGGGACGACGGAUUUGUUUGAGUUCUGAGCUGCUGUCAGAGUGGAGAGUCUGACUGGAUCUCCAUGCUAACCAAAAUGUCCAGCACUGGUGCAUCACAUAUCGACUGAUUUCUAACUGGAAGUCCUGGGGUCUUCCUGGAGGAAAGGAUAGCAGGGACUUGUCCUUGUGUGUUGUCAGUGGUAGUGUCUUAGAUCAAAUGCCUGCGAAGUUCCAAAUGUGACCCAAGUCAGGUGACCCAGCCCUCUUUCCCGUGUAGUGAACAGCGUUGGGGACGUCUCUCCCCAGCGGUGGUACUUGAACUGUGUAUUCUCAUCUUCAUCAUGAUAAUGUAGCGAACUGUUCGUGCUUGGCAAUGAGAAGAUGGACAAUUCAAACCAGAUGAUCAUAAUCCACGUGGCUCUGGAUGUAAUAAAGACAGGCAUAUGAUGAGACACAGUCUAUUUCUUACACAUUCCACUCAUAUAUGUUUGAUUUUAAUUGUACUCUGCAUCUAAUUAUAGUCCUUUCUUGACUAGGCCCACAUCGUCAUGGACCAUGGGGCCCAGAAAGACAGCUAGGGAGGCACCAAACUGACCUCCACUGGUGGUUAUUUGAGAGCUGAUCAUAAGGCUUCAAGUUCAUGGCUGCAGUGGGUGCAGCCCCUACAUCAGUAGCACAGAAACCUUCCUAUUGCACCAGAACGUCCAUCUAAAAACGGGUAACAUCAGCAGGAAGGCUGGGGCAGAGGGUAACACUGCCCUAGCAGGUUAACAGUGCUUGAAAACCAACCAAUCUCAGGUCCCCUGGAAACUAGAGAGGCCUGUAGCUGUCACGAACAGGUCAGACCACAUAGAUCUCAUAGGAGACUCAGUCUGGCACUCAGGAUCAGAGCAGAUGAUUUAAAGUCUCUUUCUAUAUAACUAUGUGUUCUUUGGGAGAAAAGAUUGGGGUGGGGGAGCAAACUGGUUUCAAAAUUCUGAUAUUAGUGGCAAAUAUAUUCUGAUUUAGUGGCAAAUCUCUAAGAGGGGGAAAUAAAAGGGAGCUUUUCCUAAAUGUUUUUCAGCUAGGAUUCCAUCUCCACUGAGAAUCACUCACAUUUCAAUACAUACAAACGCCCCCCAACC